rnacentral:rRNA from 1 species
AACGAACGCUGGCGGCGUGCCUAACACAUGCAAGUCGAACGAGAAAGGGGCUUCGGCUCCGAGUAAAGUGGCGCACGGGUGAGUAACACGUAGGUAACCUGCCUCUAAGAUUGGGAUAACCUGUCGAAAGACGAGCUAAUACCGAAUAAGACCACAGCUUCCUCAGAAGCAGGGGUCAAAGGUAGCCUCUACUUGUAAGCUAUCACUUAGAGAUGGGCCUGCGUACCAUUAGCUAGUUGGUGGGGUAACGGCCUACCAAGGCGAAGAUGGUUAGCUGGUCUGAGAGGAUGAUCAGCCACACUGGAACUGAGACACGGUCCAGACUCCUACGGGAGGCAGCAGUGGGGAAUAUUGCGCAAUGGGCGAAAGCCUGACGCAGCAACGCCGCGUGAGUGAUGAAGGCUUUCGGGUCGUAAGCUCUGUCGGAGGGAACGAAUGCUCUUGAGGUUAA